CCUCGCGGGAGGUUCCUGCGGAGGCUUCGGUGUCAGUGGCUUAAAGCCGUACACACACACACACACACACAUACAAAAAAAAAGGCUUCCUCUUUCCCACGGUUGCCAAGGAGCAGGCAAACGCUUGGCUGCAUGCCAGGCCCACGUGCUCAGGGACGGGGUUUUUUGGGAAAUUUAAGAUUCACAGCAAUCAGAAGCCCAACAGGAAGAAAUUAGUUCUGCUCUGCAACAGACUUCUUGAAAUCCCUUGAUCUUCGCAACACCUGGAUGACAAAUGUGUUGAAUCUCAACUUCUGCCAUUUCCUGAGACUACAGCCCACUAUAGCCUAUGCCGGCCUUGCAUUAUGUUUGGGAUCUUAGAAACAUCCCAGCCUUUUGCUAUCACAAAAAACCUUCCUGGAGAUUAGCUUUGUGUAACUGUCAUUGUGGGACCAA